rnacentral:rRNA from 1 species
CCUACGGGGGGCAGCAGUGGGGAAUAUUGCACAAUGGGCGCAAGCCUGAUGCAGCGACGCCGCGUGAGGGAUGGAGGCCUUCGGGUUGUAAACCUCUUUCGCCAGUGAAGCAGGCCUGCCCCUUGGUGGGUGGGUUGACGGUAGCUGGAUAAGAAGCGCCGGCUAACUACGUGCCAGCAGCCGCGGUAAUACGUAGGGCGCGGGCGUUGUCCGGAAUUAUUGGGCGUAAAGAGCUCGUAGGCGGCUGGUCGCGUCUGUCGUGAAAUCCUCUGGCUUAACUGGGGGCUUGCGGUGGGUACGGGCCGGCUUGAGUGCGGUAGGGGAGACUGGAACUCCUGGUGUAGCGGUGGAAUGCGCAGAUAUCAGGAAGAACACCGGUGGCGAAGGCGGGUCUCUGGGCCGUUACUGACGCUGAGGAGCGAAAGCGUGGGGAGCGAACAGGAUUAGAUACCCCUGUAGUC